rnacentral:sRNA from 1 species
GCCAGGUGUGGUGGCGCACACCUGUAACCCAGAGGUUUGGGAGGCUGAGGCAGGAAGAUCAAGAGUUGAAAGCCAGCCUCAG